GAUUUAUUGGUAAGAGAUUAGCCUGUAUUGUAUCAGUUAGUUGGUGGGGUAAUGGCCUACCAAGACGAUGACGCAUAACUGGUUUGAGAGGAUGAUCAGUCACACUGGAACUGAGACACGGUCCAGACUCCUACGGGAGGCAGCAGUGGGGAAUAUUGCACAAUGGACGAAAGUCUGAUGCAGCAACGCCGCGUGGAGGAUGACACAUUUCGGUGCGUAAACUCCUUUUAUAUAAGAAGAUAAUGACGGUAUUAUAUGAAUAAGCACCGGCUAACUCCGUGCCAGCAGCCGCGGUAAUACGGAGGGUGCAAGCGUUACUCGGAAUCACUGGGCGUAAAGAGCGUGUAGGCGGAUUGAUAAGUUUGAAGUGAAAUCCUAUAGCUUAACUAUAGAACUGCUUUGAAAACUGUUAAUCUAGAAUGUGGGAGAGGUAGAUGGAAUUUCUGGUGUAGGGGUAAAAUCCGUAGAGAUCAGAAGGAAUACCGAUUGCGAAGGCGAUCUACUGGAACAAUAUUGACGCUGAGACGCGAAAGCGUGGGGAGCAAACAGGAUUAGAUACCCUGGUAGUCCACGCCCUAAACGAUGUACACUAGUUGUUGUGAGGCUCGACCUUGCAGUAAUGCAGUUAACACAUUAAGUGUACCGCCUGGGGAGUACGGUCGCAAGAUUAAAACUCAAAGGAAUAGACGGGGACCCGCACAAGCGGUGGAGCAUGUGGUUUAAUUCGACGAUACACGAAGAACCUUACCUGGACUUGACAUAGUAAGAAUGAUUUAGAGAUAGAUUAGUGUCUGCUUGCAGAAACUUGCAUACAGGUGCUGCACGGCUGUCGUCAGCUCGUGUCGUGAGAUGUUGGGUUAAGUCCCGCAACGAGCGCAACCCUCGUCCUUAGUUGCUAACAGUUCGGCUGAGAACUCUAAGGAGACUGCCUACGCAAGUAGGAGGAAGGUGAGGAUGACGUCAAGUCAUCAUGGCCCUUACGUCCAGGGCUACACACGUGCUACAAUGGGGUAUACAAAGAGCAGCAAUACGGUGACGUGGAGCAAAUCUCAAAAAUGCCUCCCAGUUCGGAUUGUAGUCUGCAACUCGACUACAUGAAGUUGGAAUCGCUAGUAAU
rnacentral:rRNA from 1 species